CCAAGGUGCUGGGAUUACCAGCAUGAGCCACUGCACCAGACCAAGUUUGAUUUUAUAUGCAGAUAUUGUUAUCAAAGACUGUAUUAAAAUGAACUUUCACAGCCAGACACGGUGGCUCAUGCCUGUAAUCCCAGCACUUUCAGAGGCCAAGGCAUGACCCACCACGCCCAGCCUAUUUUUUUUUUUUUUAAGAGACAGGGUUUCGCCACGUUGCCCAGGCUGGUUUUGAACUCCUGGACUCAAGAGAUCCUCCUGCCUCAGUCUCCCAAAGUGCUGGGAUUACAGGUGCGAGCCACCCUGCCAGACCACAUUUGAUUUUAUAUGUAGAUAUUGUUAUCAAAGACUGUAUUAAAAUGAACUUUUAACAACAUUUAAAAUUAUAUGCUUCAAUGAAAGUAAAUAGUAUCAUUUAUCAUAUGCAGGGCAAGGAUGAUUAAUUUUUAAAGUCUCUAAUAAUGGUUUGCAAGUUUAUACAUUACUGUGAAUGAAUCUACAAGAAAAUAAAAAUUAGACAACACUAGUCUCUCUAGAAUGGAAUACAAUGUAGACUGAAGAAAACACAUUUUUUUGUACAGUUUAAAAUGUAAAACUGCAAGAAAAUCCAUGUACAGCUGCUCUUCAGCUUACCAUGGGGUCACACCUCACUGAAUCCACUGUAAGUUGAAAAUAACAUUAAGUUUAAAAUGCAUUUAAUGUACCUAACCUACUGAACAUCGCGGCUUAGCCUGGCCUACCAUAAACAUGCUCAGAACACUUACAUUAGCCUACACUUGGGCAGAAUCAUCUAACACGAAGCCUAUUUUAUAAUAAAGUAUUGACUAUCUCAUAUAAUUUACUGCAUACCAUACUGAAAGUGAAAAACAACACUUGAAGUAUGGUUUCUACUGAAUGUGUAUUGCUUUCACACUGUUUAAAGUUGAAAAAUUGUUAAGUUAAACCAUUG
rnacentral:lncRNA from 10 species